UUACGGCCACAACACUUUGAAAACAUCUGUUGCCAUACGAUCACCGAAGUUAAACAAUGUCGAGCCUGGUCAGUAACCAGAUGGGUGAUCGUUUUGGAAUAUCAGGUGCUGUUA